rnacentral:rRNA from 1 species
CUAGCUGUGAACGAUGGAUACUAGGCGUUGAGAGUAUCGACCCUCUCAGUGUCGUAGCUAACGCGUUAAGUAUCCCGCCUGGGGAGUACGCGCGCAAGCGUGAAACUCAAAGGAAUUGACGGGGGCCCGCACAAGCGGUGGAGUAUGUGGUUUAAUUCGAUGCAACGCGAAGAACCUUACCAGGGCUUGACAUGUCCGGAACCCUGCCCAAAGGCGGGGGUGCCUACGGGAACCGGAACACAGGUGGUGC